UACGUAGGGACCAAGCGUUGUCCGGAAUCGUUGGGCGUAAAGCGCGUGUAGGCGGCCCGGUAAGUCCGCUGUGAAAGUCCAGGGCUCAACCCUGGGAUGCCGGUGGAUACUGUCGGGCUCGAGUCCGGAAGAGGCGAGUGGAAUUCCUGGUGUAGCGGUGAAAUGCGCAGAUAUCAGGAGGAACACCAAUGGCGAAGGCAGCUCGCUGGGACGUGACUGACGCUGAGACGCGAAAGCGUGGGGAGCAAACAGG
rnacentral:rRNA from 1 species